UCAGCCUAAUCGUUUAACGAGUAUUAGCAUGGUGGAACUUGGCCACAGGUAGAAAUGUACUUCUCUGAUGACGGACAACUAUGAUAAAUAUCAGACUGCUAUCUGGAAACUCAAAAAAGAAGCGAUCGAGGCUGGUAAAUUGUGCAACUGAACUACUGUAGUCGAUUUUGACGGUAAUUUAUUUUUUCGUCCCGAAAUUAUUCAGCUUUGAGUAUCUUCUUGGGUUUCAGAUGCCAUAUUUUUUACUCCGGUUUUGAUUAUAUAAAUUGGCAUAAUUUCAAAAAAAACUAAGGCAAAUUGCGUAAUUUUACUUUUUUCCCCCUCUCUUUUGGUGAUUUAGGGCCUUUCAGAAAGUUAGCAUUUUUGCUUAUGAUGUGUUUUCAUUAACCAACAUGUAAUUCUCCAAAUUUCAUGUAAGGACCUUUUAUGGUCAAAAGAAUGAUAGUUUCUUAAAGAGAUUUGCAAAUUUCUUUGAUUUUAAUCAUUAUUCAAAAAUAAUUGCAGUGGUGCCUAUUGCAUUUGCAAUUUGAUUUGUUUCCAUCGGCUGAAAAGAAGAUUGAUUGUGUUUUUCUUUUUGUGCCUGCUCUGGGAGGUCGAGAGGUGCUUUCACUAUGAUGUUCAAUCAUAGUCAUUAGACACGUGACUAACAUCAUUAAAUAUUAGUAUGACCAACUGAAGAUUUCCAAUUAGAUAUGGGCAAUUUGGAAGAAAGUGUGACUGUUGUGGUGCUCAGCCAGAAGAGAACUUCCCAGCUCUAUGGGAAUUAAAUUCAGAGGAGCACUAUACUUUUGGGAGGCGUGGUUAAGUCUAGCUGCAGAAAAUCUAGAUACUGAUUGGUGAUUGAGCUCUUUGUCGUACCCAAAUGGAUAUUAAAAUAGAAGAAGGUUAAUACUGUUACGGUACUCAGCCAGAAGAGGAUUUGCCAGCUUUAUGGGAAAUGAACUCAAGCCAGCAAUAUACUUUUGGGAAGUUUAGCUCCAGAAAACUCGAGGUACACAUGAUCUUUUAUGAGUAUAAUAUCUAUUGCCUCCACUAUAGAUGUUUUGUUUGUAGUAGAAAAUUUUAAUAAUUAAACUUUUUUGUUAUUGAAAUGUUUAUAUUACUGGUGUUAGUAAUUUCUUAGACAUACCAUUAUACUAUGUUUUUUGAGGUGGACUAUUUUUAUGAGUAUAGAGAUGAAAGGAAGAUGCAAAAUCUCUUUAUAAAAAGGAGAACCUGUAGGGUUCUGUUAUUGUUUUUUUGGUUCUGUGGGAUAGACCAGAGAAAUAGAAGUACAGAUAAGUUUACAAGUUGCUCCAAAUAUUUUAUUGGUUUCUUCAACUUGUGUGCGAAGUCUUGAAAACCAACUCAAAUUUUGGAUGGGCAAAGACAGGAAGGUAUAGAUUCAGCUUGGGACAUCAAGAUCUCUGUCUUGUUCCUCUUUAUUUCAUAUUAUUUUUUACUGUUUGAAGGUCAAAACUUUGUCGAAUAAACAUUUUAAUAUCAUAAAAUUUAUGCUAAUCCGCAAGGAUUUCGCUGUUUUUAUGUUCAUCUCUCACUGUAAGCCUGGCUUGUAACCAUCUCAGUGAUAUGAAGGUCAAAUACAGUUACCGAUAUAUGUUCCCACUGCAAAAUUUUGAAAAAGAAAUAGAGAAUGUACUUCCUUUUAACCAUCUCAAUGAUAUGAAGGUGAAAGACAAUUCCAUUAUAUGUGCCCACCGUGAAAUUAAAAAAUGGAGAAUGUACUUCCCAUAGCUGCUUAGUGUUUCAAGUUUAAUUUACUCUUCAGAUAGAGUAUCCAAAAAAAGAAAGAUACUUUUGCUAUAUGCCAGACAAUUGCAUGUUAAUAUUUUCUCUAGGAGUUGUUCGCAAAGCAGUCGUUCAAUGUGCAUGUUAUUUGUUAAAAGGUCACAAUAACUAUAGAAGGAAACAUAGGCUGAGGUGCAGGGAUAUUGAACAGGCUGAAGACAUAUUGGCAAAUAAAUUGAGAACAGAACCACAGUAGAGAUAAUAAUAGAUUAUUCUAAGAGGAAAAUGAAGUAUUAAACAUAAAAAAGAUAGGUAAAGAAUGUGCCAUACAGUGACUACUAUCGGUAAAUGGACAAUUCGGCUUUGUUGGUAUAGUUAGACGUGAAUUUUGAUGUUGCAGUUAAUGUAAUUUGAAAGUGUAUGAUCGUCUUCACCUAUGUUAAGUGGUCCGGCAAUGAUUAAGGCAUGAUUUGGCAGCCACUUAUCCUUCCAGUUUAUUAAGUGGCACUUAUUUUUAUUACUUGAUGGUUUGGAUCUGAUCGAUAGCAUUCUCUCUUGUUGGAGGUUUGCUAUUCAAAUGACAUCUCAGUAAGCCAUUUUUCUACUUUCAAAUGGGAAUUUGGAUGGAGUAUUAUUGAUUCAUAUUCCUGACUCUUAGCAUAUUUUAUUAAGCCAUUUCAUUAUUACUGUUUAGUUGACUUUUUCUUUUUCAAUUGACAAUUUAUUUUAGUAUUUAACUCAUUUGUUGUUUAGUUAGUUUAUAACUCUUUUGUUACACAAGCAAGCAAUUUAUAUUUGCUAAAUUGUUUAAUGUAUUAAAUAAAUCUUUAUUAAAAUAUUGUUUGUAAAAUUCAACAAAAUUGUGAACUCUAUUAUAGCAGAUAACUUGUUAAAUUAAAUAGAUGUUGAACUUUUACCAAGCCAUUCAAGAAAAAAAUACAAUUUCAAAAUGACGUCGUUGUAAGGCGUUGUUAUGAACAGGAAAACAAGUUGGUUAGGUGAGUCUGUUGCCAUUCUUAUACUCUGUGAUUUUUUUAGUAAUGUUUCUCUUUCUGGUAGUCCUUAAAUUUGGCCUUUGCCAGAAAGUAUUGGCAGAACGAUAGAUUUUCAAAACUAUGCGAGGCAAGGGUUCUUGGUCAGUAAAAUGCAAAUUUGGACAGCAAUAUGCCUUUUUUACAAGUGGUUGGACGAAGAAAAUCACCUAAAAGUAGGUAAUGUUUGUGCUUUCGAAUAUAUUAAGAACCCCUCUUCUGUCAGACUAAAAGUCUCUCGUUUCCGGGGAGAAGAUAUUUCGUCUCACAGGCCAUUAACUAAAGUUUCGAUGGCGCCAUUUUAUAUGGGUCCCUGCUCACGAUGUGCAUAAGGUUGACCUUCGCCGAGGACUAUUUGUAGGACGGUAGCUAUUUAAGACUACACGUUUCAGGUAAGGGAUCCUGGAGAGUAAAUGGGGUUGCACUUGUGUCUCUGGCCCUGUUUGGUGCUUUUGAGAGUCGGGCUGCAACUUCAACCAUCGAUAUCUUGAACCCCAAGGUCUUCACUGGUUUGAUUGUUGGUGCCAUGCUUCCCUACUAGUUCUCUGCCAUGACCAUGAAAAGAGUUCUUUAUUUUUAAAUGAAUAUUCUUGGUUCUUAUAGAUUAGUGGUCAAGAGACUAUUAAUGAUUCAAUAGAUCUUUCUAUUGAAGUUGUUUAGAUAGUUGAUGAUGUGUUUGUGUUUGGUUGUUCUUGUGUAAUAGGCUUUCAAAUGUAAUACUCCCUAUGUGAAUCCAUUUGAUUGAGCACGGAGUUUAAGAAAAGAGAGAAAACUUUUAAA